rnacentral:rRNA from 1 species
UACGGAGGAUGCGAGCGUUAUCCGGAUUUAUUGGGUUUAAAGGGUGCGUAGGUGGGAUUUUAAGUCAGCGGUGAAAGUUUGUGGCUCAACCAUAAAAUUGCCGUUGAAACUGGAGUUCUUGAGUAUGUUUGAAGUAGGCGGAAUGCGUGGUGUAGCGGUGAAAUGCAUAGAUAUCACACAGAAUAUCGAUUGCGAAGGCAGCUCACAAAGCCAAGAUUGACGCUGAGGCACGAAAGUGUGGGGAGUCAAACAGGAUUAGA